rnacentral:rRNA from 1 species
GAUGAACGCUAGCGGCAGGCUUAACACAUGCAAGUCGAGGGGUAUUGGUUUUCGGACCAAGAGACCGGCGCACGGGUGCGUAACGCGUAUGCAAUCUACCUUUUGCAGAGGGAUAGCCCCAGAGAAAUUUGGAUUAAUACCUCAUAGUAUAGUACUUUGGCAUCAAGGAACUAUUAAAGUCACAACGGCAAAAGAUGAGCAUGCGUCCAUUAGCUAGUUGGUAAGGUAACGGCUUACCAAGGCUACGAUGGGUAGGGGUCCUGAGAGGGAGAUCCCCCACACUGGUACUGAGACACGGACCAGACUCCUACGGGAGGCAGCAGUGAGGAAUAUUGGACAAUGGGCGCAAGCCUGAUCCAGCCAUGCCGCGUGUAGGAAUAAGGUCCUAUGGAUUGUAAACUGCUUUUAUACAGGAAGAAACACACCCUCGUGAGGGUACUUGACGGUACUGUAUGAAUAAAGGACCGGGACUAACUCCGUGCCAGCAGCCGCGGUAAA